GCAAGUCGAACGAGAAAGUUUCCUUCGGGAAGCGAGUAGAGUGGCGCACGGGUGAGUAACACGUGGAUAACCUGCCCUAUGAUCUGGGAUAACCCACCGAAAGGAGGGCUAAUACCGAAUAAGCCCACAGAGACUUCGGUCUCCGUGGGAAAAGAUUUAUCGUCAUAGGAUGGGUCCGCGGCCCAUUAGCUAGUUGGUAGGGUAAUGGCCUACCAAGGCUACGAUGGGUAGCUGGUCUGAGAGGAUGAUC
rnacentral:rRNA from 1 species